GAUGAACGCUGGCGGCGUGCCUAACACAUGCAAGUCGAACGGAGCUUGAGGGAAGAAGACUUCGGUCAACGGACCAAAAGCUUAGUGGCGGAUGGGUGAGUAACACGUGAGCAACCUGCCUUGUACAGUGGAAUAACAACGGGAAACCGUUGCUAAUACCGCAUAACAUACCGAAGAGGCAUCUUAUUGGUAUCAAAGGAGCAAUCCGGUACAAGAUGGGCUCGCGUCCGAUUAGAUAGUUGGAGAGGUAACGGCUCCCCAAGUCGACGAUCGGUAGCCGGACUGAGAGGUUGAACGGCCACAUUGGGACUGAGACACGGCCCAG
rnacentral:rRNA from 1 species